ACGACUCUCUUCCGAUCUACAAAAGUCCAUAGACCGCCUAAUUGACACCAACGAGUAAAAUAUCCUUGUGCUUCGGGCCCCCAUAGUAGCAACAAAGAGUGUGCUAAACUAUUGACAGGGGUAGAAACUGCUGCGGUUAAGGAAUUACAACCUUCCAAAUAGGAACUAGCCAAUCCAUGGGUAUACCAAGAAGUUACAAAAGUUGUCCCUGUAAACCAACCCCCUAAAGCGAAAUAAGCACAAGGAAAGAGCAAUAGGCUAGACCAUCCUAGAAAAACGAAACGGUCCCUUCGUAACUAGUCAUCCAUAGUAUCAAACAGAUCAUUUUCUUCUUUAGGAAUUCUACCAAGGGCUAUAGUCAUAGUGAUCCUCCUAUUCAAUUACUUCAACCAUUUCCGAGCACCUCAUAUCACUUUCCAAGGCAUAUGACAGUUUUAUUAUCUGUGGACGAUUUCUUUGUCGUUCAAUGCCCU